rfam:Gossypium hirsutum cultivar TM-1 unplaced genomic scaffold scaffold4672.1, whole genome shotgun sequence
GGGCACGAUCAUGCCAGCGCUAAUGCACCGGAUCCCAUCAGAACUCCGCAGUUAAGUGUGCUUGGGAGAGAUUUGUACUAGGUUGGGAGACCUCCAGGGAAGUCCUCGUGUUGCACCCC